rnacentral:rRNA from 1 species
CCCAUGGCUCAGAUUGAACGCUGGCGGCAGGCCUAACACAUGCAAGUCGAGCGGCAGCACGGGUACUUGUACCUGGUGGCGAGCGGCGGACGGGUGAGUAAUGCCUAGGAAUCUGCCUGGUAGUGGGGGAUAACGCUCGGAAACGGACGCUAAUACCGCAUACGUCCUACGGGAGAAAGCAGGGGACCUUCGGGCCUUGCGCUAUCAGAUGAGCCUAGGUCGGAUUAGCUAGUUGGUGAGGUAAUGGCUCACCAAGGCGACGAUCCGUAACUGGUCUGAGAGGAUGAUCAGUCACACUGGAACUGAGACACGGUCCAGACUCCUACGGGAGGCAGCAGUGGGGAAUAUUGGACAAUGGGCGAAAGCCUGAUCCAGCCAUGCCGCGUGUGUGAAGAAGGUCUUCGGAUUGUAAAGCACUUUAAGUUGGGAGGAAGGGCAGUUACCUAAUACGUAUCUGUUUUGACGUUACCGACAGAAUAAGCACCGGC